rnacentral:lncRNA from 1 species
AUUUCUGACUUUACAGUAUGUGAAAUUGUUUAAGAAGGUUAUGAUUUGUCUAAAUAAUUAUAUAAUGCUACCUUUGUAAAUGUUAAUGAGUGUACAUACCUAUAUGUAUAAUGUGCUUCUGAACUAAUCAAGAAGUCUGUCAAAAGAAUGAAGAGGAGACCAGUUAAUUUUGUUGAUUUUUAAGUCCAGUCUUCAUUCUCAACGAGAGGCCCACCAGUCAAGAUUGGUAAAAUUGCUAAUUCAUUUGGCAUAAUAAAAUUUAUAUUACUGAGCGAUAGAGAGC